rnacentral:rRNA from 1 species
GUGGGGAAUCUUCCACAAUGGACGAAAGUCUGAUGGAGCAACGCCGCGUGAGUGAAGAAGGGUUUCGGCUCGUAAAGCUCUGUUGUCGGGGACGAAUGUGCAGUAUUUGAAUAAAGUACUGUAAUGACGGUACCUGACGAGGAAGCCACGGCUAACUACGUGCCAGCAGCCGCGGUAAUACGUAGGUGGCAAGCGUUGUCCGGAAUUAUUGGGCGUAAAGGGAGCGCAGGCGGGAAGGUAAGUCGGUCUUAAAAGUGCGGGGCUCAACCCCGUGAUGGGAUCGAAACUAUCUUUCUUGAGUGCAGGAGAGGAAAGUGGAAUUCCGAGUGUAGCGGUGAAAUGCGUAGAUAUUAGGAGGAACACCAGUGGCGAAGGCGACUUUCUGGACUGUAACUGACGCUGAGGAGCGAAAGCGUGGGUAGCGAACGGGAUUAGAUACCCGGGUAGUCC